rnacentral:lncRNA from 1 species
GAGUAGAGACUGGGCGUAGCGGUCGGCCAGGUAGAGGUAGCGGUGGUGGAGGUCGUGAAGGAGGGCGAUGAGUUGAGGCCGCUUCUGGUAGUAGUUCUCCGCCCGCUCAGCAAACGAGUCCGAUUCCGGGUCAUCCGGUAUAUUCACCGCAAGUGAUUGCACCCUUUGCUCUAUAUCUGCACUCGGUCCAACAAAAAAUUUUGUGAUUUAUAAGGUCAAAAAGAGACAUUUUUCUUGUGGGCGUCGAAAUAAGACGUUAUGAAGGAAAAAUGAACAUCUCCUCGUAAAUCUUUGCACAAUGCUUGCAGUAUGUGCCAUGGACAACACGUGUUUUGAUUUGGAACUAAACAGAGUAUGGUGUGUUUUCAAAGAAGAAUGAAAUAGAAAAAUAAGCUACAAGUCAUGCUGCAUCAAAAAUAUAAAAUGUUACUUUUAAUCUAAGAUGGUCAUAAUGGAUGCUACACUUGUCAUGGAUUGCAAUUUAACUUUAUAUACUUUUGUUGAAAAGAAGGCAGAUGUUAGGGGUAACAAACACUGCGAUGGGUCGCAAUAAUGAGUGUCCAACAUGUAGUAGAAAGUAUUGACAAGAGGACAGUGGAGAUUUAUAUACCUAUAUAACCUAUCAGGCUACCUUGCUUCCCCUUUAAAUUGCACUACUUUUUGACAACAAUGUCCCGAUGAAAUUUGACUUUUCCUAUACGUUUAAUUUAAAUUUCGAAUUCAAACUAAAAGAAGAUGACUGCAGCAAUCCAAAGAAACCGUAGACAAUUCGACCACUUUACUCCCCCUAGAAGAAACACUACACAGACAGCGACAUUACAGCUAUUUGAAGCUUAAAAGAGGAGAGAGAUGAAAAGAAGAGAUGUUUUCGCAUCUUAAUGCGUCUCAAUAAUUCGCCUGCAACUUGUCAAACAUUCAAGUACGUGAGUGUUGUUGUGUUCUUAUCCAACCUCUAUUCGAGAGAAGAAGAGCAGCGGCAGCGAGAAAAAGCUAAGGGGAACAGUGGCUGCUCACCUGCAAGCGCCGCUUGCAGCCAAGGCGGGCAUGUGGACGACCGACACGAGGCGUGAUAGCUCGCUGUCGUCGCAGUCAUCGUCGCCAUCGCGCUGAGAUGCGUAGCCACAGAGACCGCUUUGUUGUGGCCCUUCGUACCACUGCCAUCAAACAAAACAAGAAAACAUUGCAGGCCUCCUCCAUCAAUCGAGCGCGACAAGAGAUCAGCCAAACAGAACAGUCACAGUGCAGUAAAGAGUAAAAGAAUACAAGAAGGCUUGGGAACCGAACGAGAGCAUGUCGCGAGGCCCGAGGUUUUACAUCAUGUUCCUCUCAUCGUCAAAGGUAAAAGAAAAAGAAACCCGCGUUAGAUCGCCAUGUGAACGUACGACGCUGCGCUGGUGAAUAAUGUUCGCCAGGAGGACAGCAAGCAGCCCCACGGCAGCGUGAGUUCUGAACUCUGUUUCAGAUGGUUGUCAAACAUGCACGGCCGUGAGGUGAAAAGCUUUGAUUCUGGAGACCGUAAAAAUGGCUGAAGGUGAUGGAAUCCGAUAAGGUCGAGAGCUUUUACUAUUAUCCUCGUGAUCUCGGCGACAGUAAAAAUAAUUAAAAACCGAUGAAAUCCCAUAAGUUAAAUCGAGAAAGUUGGAAAAUAAUAUCGUUUAAAGGAAAUAAAUCAGAGCCACCGGAAAAGCUUGGACUGCCUUAGCAGUUAACCAGCGAAAAUUUUGGAAUGCGAAACAGAGACCGGAAUGAAGCAGAGAAUCUCAGGUUGAUCGAAUGCGUUCGCUAAGAACUUCUAAGGAAACAUUCAUUUAUGCUGCACAAGCUAAUGGUUCUUUCCACCCUGAUCAUGAUCAUUAUUAGAACAUGCAAUACAAAAUGUUUAUGUAUUCCGUCUGCAAUUCCGAGAAAAGAGAAGGUUGGAUUUUUUUUCUCUUUAUCAGAAAUUCUGGCUGCUAAAAGCAUCAGAAAAUCUUACUUCAAGGGAAAAAAAAGACAAGUUUUGUGACAGCAUUGAUUAAGAAACAUCCAAGGAACAAUUCCCCUAUGAUAUAUCAGUAACCUUUUACCCUGGACAACUUGAUCUUUAUCGCUUUGAUCACCAAGAACAUACUGCCAUUCUUAAAAAGAGACGGUCGGAUUUUUUUUCUUUAGACUCUGUUUCUUUUGCAGAGCAACAAAAAAGAACAGGAAGAAUCGGGAUCUCAGUUUACAGGAAGAGAACUCCAGUUUUACUGGCCGCAUUAAUGAAGAACAUGCUAAGGAACUCUACGAGAUAACACAUUGUACUCGCUAUGCCACUGGAUUUUUCCUCCUCGAUCACCAAGAACACGAAUUGCAAAAUGUUCAUAAUCCCUACUGCCAUUCUAAGAAAAAACCCAAUCGAUUUCCCUAUCUUUUGCAAAACUAAAGCUUUCUGCCCGGUAAAUCGAGCAUCCAUGAAGAUAGAAAAACUAAGACGUAGAAAAGAAAUGGAGAAGAUGAUCUGAAAGGAAAGCAUACCUCUUCCGAGGAAAAGUCGCUGCUCGCCGGAGAAGCUCUGCGACGCUACCCGGGGAGCGACAUUAGUAUGAGAAGUGGCAGACCUGAG